rnacentral:rRNA from 1 species
AACGAACGUUAGCGGCGCGCUUAACACAUGCAAGUCGCACGAGAAAGGGCUUCGGCCCCGGUAAAGUGGCGCACGGGUGAGUAACACGUAGGUAAUCUACCCUUGAGUGGUGGACAACUUCCCGAAAGGGGAGCUAAUACAGCAUAAGACCACAUGACCUUUUGGGUUGUGCGGCCAAAGCGGGCCUCUCCAUGGAAGCUCGCGCUUGAGGAUGAGCCUGCGGCCCAUCAGCUUGUUGGUAAGGUAACGGCUUACCAAGGCUAAGACGGGUAGCUGGUCUGAGAGGAUGAACAGCCACACUGGAACUGAGACACGGUCCAGACUCCUACGGGAGGCAGCAGUGGGGAAUCUUGCGCAAUGGGCGAAAGCCUGACGCAGCGACGCCGCGUGAGCGAUGAAGGCCCUCGGGUUGUAAAGCUCUGUGGGGAGAGAAGAAUAAGCGCAAGCCAAUACCUUGCGUGAUGACGGUAUCUCCUUAGCAAGCACCGGCUAACUCUGUGCCAGCAGCCGCGGUAGGACAGAGGGUGCGAACGUUGUUCGGAAUUACUGGGCGUAAAGCGCGUGUAGGCGGUUUCGCAUAUAGUAUGACAACAGCCCGUGGCUCAAUCACGGAAGUGCACUCGAAACUGCGUGAC